UGGGCUGUAGCUCAGUGGUAGAGCACUUGCCUCCCACGUGUGAGGCACUGGGUUCGAUCCUCAGCACCACAU
rfam:Ictidomys tridecemlineatus contig014929, whole genome shotgun sequence.